rnacentral:lncRNA from 1 species
AUGUAAAGGAGGAAUUUUGACAUGUCUCUUUGUAUGUCUAUGUAGAAAGACAGUUUCUGUUUGAUUAAUUGUUGUCUAUUGAAUAUAGAUGUCUUGAUCAUAUGUGUCACAAUAUUUGUUUAGACAUUUUUACAUGUAAUUAGCUAGUUUUUUUUUAAAAACAAAAAGUGUAGCACUUGUCCCCGUUGGUGUAAACUCUGAACUUGUAAAUUAUUGUUUGGGAAUAGUGUCAUUAAUAAAAUGCAACUUUUUUUUUUCAAGCAAGUUUAAACAAUAGGGCAUAUGCUUGUAGGUAUAUUUAGAUUGAGUAAUUUGAGUUUUUACUCACAUAAGUUUUAUAAGACUGUUUGGGAUAACUUAAGAAAAUAGCUUAUGACAAUUUUCA